AUAUGGGAUUAGCUAGUAGGUGAGGUAAUGGCUCCCCUAGGGCGACGAUCCCCUAGCUGGUCUGAGAGGAUGAUCAGCCCCCACUGGGACUGAGACACGGGCCCAGACCUCCCUACGGGAGGCAGCAGUGGGGAAUAUUGCACAAAUGGGGCGCAAGCCUGAUGCACCCAUGCCGCGUGUAUGAAGAAGGCCCCUAGGGUUGUAAAGUACUUCAGUCGGGAGGAAGGCGUUGAUGCUAAUAUCAUCAACGAUUGCGUUCCGACAGAAGAAGCCCCGGCUAACUCCGUGCCAGCAGCCGCGGUAAUACGGAGGGUGCAAGCGUUAAUCGGAAUUACUGGGCGUAAAGCGCACGCAGGCGGUUGAUUAAGUUAGAUGUGAAAUCCCCGGGCUUAACCUGGGAAUGGCAUCUAAGACUGGUCAGCUAGAGUCUUGUAGAGGGGGGUAGAAUUCCAUGUGUAGCGGUGAAAUGCGUAGAGAUGUGGAGGAAUACCGGUGGCGAAGGCGGCCCCCUGGACAAAGACUGACGCUCAGGUGCGAAAGCGUGGGGAGCAAACAGGAUUAGAUCCCUGGUAGUCCACGCUGUAAACGAUGUCGAUUUGAAGGUUGUUCCCUAGAGGAGUGCUUUCCGGACCU
rnacentral:rRNA from 1 species